GGCCUCCUGGUGCUGACCACAUGUUAGGUUCUUACACUGACUGUAUAGGAAGGGGAGGAAACCCAUUUUGCUCUGGUUAUUUUGAGGUGGGUCUCCUGA
rnacentral:snoRNA from 1 species